GGGGGCUCGAGCGCCUGGCCCCCCCGCGUGCGGCCACCUCCGCGCGCUUUUCCUUUCGUAACCUACUUGCCCGGCCAAACUGCUUCUCUUUACUGAAGAGGGAGGUGUGGGCCCGAGUCAAUACCUUUCCCACAGUACCUAUUGCGAGAAUCAAGGGAUCACAGCCUUCAACUCGAAGAUAGGAGGACUUUGUUUCUUACUCUCCAAAGGUGGUUUCUGGUAUCCUCGUUAUCAUUUCUAUCAAAGGGAAGCCUUCCAGCGUGUUUCCUUGCCCCUUGGUACAAAACAAGAAAGACUCUAAGUGCUUUGAAGAUUGAGGGACCAUGUGGCAAGGAGCGCAGGCAGCCUCUCAGACCUGAGAAUGACCCCAGCUGACAGUCAGCAAGAAAAUGGAGACCUCAGUCCUACAACCUCAAGGGACUGCAUUCUACCAACAAUCUGCAUAGACUUGGAGGAGGACUGUGCUCCAAAUGAGAAUGCAUCCUGCCAACACCUUUGAUUUUGGCCUGUAAAUCUCUGAGCAGUCAACCUCUCUUGGGCUUCAGAUCUACAGAAUUAUGAGCUAAUAAACGGUUUUACAUUUGG